GACGAACGCUGGCGGCGUGCCUAAUACAUGCAAGUUGAGCGGAUGGAAGGAAGCUUGCUUCCUAAAGUCAGCGGCGGACGGGUGAGUAACACGUGGGCAACCUGCCCCUAAGAUCGGGAUAACUUCGGGAAACCGGAGCUAAUACCGGAUAUGAUUAUGUCUCACAUGAGAUGUAAUGGAAAGACGGUUUCGGCUGUCACUUAGGGAUGGGCCCGCGGCGCAUUAGCUAGUUGGUGAGGUAACGGCUCACCAAGGCGACGAUGCGUAGCCGACCUGAGAGGGUGAUCGGCCACACUGGGACUGAGACACGGCCCAGACUCCUACGGGAGGCAGCAGUAGGGAAUCUUCCGCAAUGGACGAAAGUCUGACGGAGCAACGCCGCGUGAGUGAAGAAGGUUUUCGGAUCGUAAAACUCUGUUGUUAGGGAAGAACAAGUACCAUAGUAACUGAUGGUACCUUGACGGUACCUAACCGGAAAGCCACGGCUAACUACGUGCCAGCCGCCGCAGUAA
rnacentral:rRNA from 1 species